CGACAGCUGUGGAAGAAUUUCUGUUUCUGAAUAAGAUAAAGUGGCAUGAACCUGUAUUCUGAAUGCUGGGAUGGUGGCGACUAGAUCUCAGAGGCUCUCUGGCCCGCCAGCCUAGCAGAAUUGUUCAUGACAGAAUGAAUAAGACGCUGUUGGUGAGAGACCCUUGAUGAGUGGAUGAGGCCAUGCAAGCAGGAAGACAACCAGGAAGACAACUAGGACCUGUGACUCACAUUGCCACCGGCCACUAGAAGUCCAAGGGCCUCUGUGUACCUCAUGAAAUUCUUUCAUCCACUGGGAUGUUCUGAUCUAAACCCAAUGUUGGGAUCCUGGUCCCAAGCCCUUCUCCCCAGAGAUCCCUGUUUAGCAGACCCAGGGAGCCAGUUGUGUGAUACGCUGCCUUGAUUCUGAAAUAGGAGGGUUAAGGGCCUUCCAUUAAGAAA